AGGGAAAAUUACCUGAUACGAAAUUUGGAUUCAUUACUUCUUGUUCUUUAUCGUCUACUUUUUAACCAGAAUGAAAAGACAAGUGGAUUUUGAUUUAUCAAAACCAUGCCAUAAAU